UUCUUUAUAGUAGUUAUAUUCUUAUAAUUUAUAGAAUUUGGCGGUAAUUUAGUCUAGUCAGAGGAAUUUGUGUUUUAAUCGAUAAUCCCCGUUGUAUUUUACUUAUUUUGUAAGUUUGUAUAUCGUCAUUAAAAGACUAUUUUAAUAAAAAAUUGUUGUAAUUGGUUAACUAGUAAAAUUAGACCAUGGUGCAGCAUAUAAAUAAGAAUGCAUGAAUUACAAUAAAUUUUAUUUUAUUUUACGGAUUAAAUAUUAAAUUUUUUAAAGAAGGUGGAUUUGAUUGUAUUUGUUGNUUAGCAGGCAAUAAAGAUAUAAGGUCUAAAUUAUGUACAC
rnacentral:rRNA from 1 species